rnacentral:rRNA from 1 species
AGUCGAACGAGAAAGGGUAGCAAUACCUGAGUAAAGUGGCGUACGGGUGAGUAACACGUGGAUCAUCUGCCCUUUGGUGGGGAAUAACUUCUGGAAACGGAAGAUAAUACCGCAUAAGUCCGAGAGGAGAACGCAGCAAUGCGCCGAAGGAGGAGUCCGCGGCUGAUUAGCUAGUUGGUAGGGUAAUGGCCUACCAAGGCGACGAUCGGUAGCCGGCCUGAGAGGGCACACGGCCACACUGGCACUGAGACACGGGCCAGACUCCUACGGGAGGCAGCAGUGGGGAAUCUUGCACAAUGGGGGAAACCCUGAUGCAGCGACGCCGCGUGAGUGAUGAAGCCCUUCGGGGUGUAAAGCUCUUUCGACGGGAACGAUAAUGACGGUACCCGGAGAAGAAGCUGCGGCUAACUACGUGCCAGCAGCCGCGGUAAUACGUAGGCAGCAAGCGUUGUUCGGAAUUACUGGGCGUAAAGAGUACGUAGGUGGUUUGCUAAGUCCGAUGUGAAAUCUCCUGGCUUAACUGGGAGGGUGCGUUAGAUACUGGCAGGCUUUGAAUGUGGGAGAGGAGAGCGGAAUUCCUGGUGUAGCGGUGAAAUGCGUAGAUAUCAGGAGGAACGCCUGUGGUGUAGACGGCUCUCUGGACCAUUAUUGACACUGAGGUACGAAAGCGUGGGUAGCAAACAGGAUUAGAUACCCUGGUAGUCCACGCCCUAAACGAUGCAUACUUGGUGUGGGCAGUUCAGUCUGUCCGUGCCGGAGCUAACGCGUUAAGUAUGCCGCCUGGGGAGUACGGUCGCAAGGUGAAACUCAAAGGAAUUGACGGGGGCCCGCACAAGCGGUGGACAUGUGGUUUA